UGAUGUUCAUGUCCGUGUCGUUGCUGCCUUAAUCGUCUCACAGCUGCUACUAAUGGGAUUAUUGAGCACUAAAGAAGCUUCUCAGUCGACUCCAUUGCUUAUCACCCUUCCCGUAUUGACCAUAUGCUUCCACAGAUUCUGCAAAGGGCGUUAUGAACCAGCUUUCGUUAGAUAUCCUUUACAGGUUAGUUGUACUGAUCUAAAUUAGACGCAAGAUUUUGGUAUUUCUUUGGUGCUUCUAUUUUUCCGUUGCAAAUGCCAAUAUUUGAACUUCAUACGUGGGGGAUGAUAAUCAAUUAGGCUAAACUCCAAGUUUGCAUUACUUAUAAAAGGGAAACGAAGUAAAAGGGUUUUUUUUUUUUUCCUUUAUGUACACAUUAUAUUACAACUGGAAUUCAUAGCAACUCUUCUGGGUUUAUUCCAGGAAGCAAUGAUGAAAGAUACAUUGGAGCGAGCAAAAGAAGCAAACUUGAACUUGAAAGGGUUCCUUCAAAAUGCGUAUAUCCACCCGGUUUUCAAAUCUGCGGAUGGCAGUGAUAGUGAGAGUGAGAGUGAGUGGGAGCGUUCCCCAGCACUGGUUGCAACAAAACGCACGUCGAAAAGGUUUACUCCAAUGCCUAGUAAAGAUGGUGGAUCAUUGCUCUCCCUAGACCAAGUUAACGAUGAAUGUCUAAAACCUUAAGAAUUAGGCUGCCUUUGGAUGAGCUUUUUUCACCAGUCCAGUGUAGUGAAAAAAAAAUUCAAUCUCACUGCAACAGUGAAACGGGACUAAAGCAAAGAGCAGCAGUUAAAGGCAACUGGGAAAAUACCCAUACUUCUAUUUAUAUCAUUUUAUCAUUUUAUCCUUUAAAUUUUGGCCUAAGUUCUUCCCCAAUCUUAUUUGUUUUCAGAUUUGGGAAGAAAAUAACCAAAUUCAUUGACAGAUAACUACGAAAGCUCUUCAACUAUAAUGUUACUAUUUGCGAAAAUAAUAUUUAUUAUUGUUAUAAAAGAAUAUUUAACUAUAAAAAAUUAAAAAUUAUUAUCAUUUUAUCUAAUAAAUAAUUUAAAUUGAUUAUAUAAUUCAUUAAAAUAUUUAUAAUAAAAUAUUAAAAGAUACAUUUUAAUAUUUUAUUAAAUGAAUUUAUAAAUUCACAUAUUUUAAUAAUUUUAUAUAAGUAAAAUAAUUUAAAAACUUCUAUUAUAUAUCAAUUCUAAUAUGAUGUCCUUAAUAGUCAUUUUUUAUUUUCACCUCACCGCUACAGCUGCGUUUGAAUCCAAACACACACUCCACCGCUGUUUCUAAUCUCACUGCUACAGUAUCCAAUCUCAUCGCUACAGUAACUAAUCUCACCGCCACCGCUGUUUUUAACCUCACCGGAAGUAAACACACCGCCCAUCCAAACUAAGCCUUAGAAGGUCCAUUGUUAGAUAUUGGUUCACUCUCGCACUGUAUAUGUGUGAGGUCUUUAGGAGGUUUUAAGUGGUUGAAUUCUCCUCACCCUCAGCCCCAUUCUGAUACCAUUGUAAAUGAUAAUUAAAGAAAGCAAUGAAGAGAAAUUUCUUUCUUAAUUUUUAUUUCGGGGGUUAAAUUUUAAAAUCUUCAGAUUUUACUUUUCCAACCAAAUUUUAAUAACUUUACAGCCAAAGGUAUCUUUACAAAGCUUCCAACCGAGAACCAUCACCAGUGUCGGCGUCUCUCCCUCUUCAACGGUGAGAACUCAGAUGACUUGUGUCUUCUCCUUUUAUCUUUUGUUUAAUAAAUUUGUUCUGAAUUUUAGAAAAUUUUCUUUGGAAACCCCCCCCCCCCAAAAAAAAACUCAUAUACAAUUUUUUUAACUUUCCAUAAUUGAGCUUGAUUGGUUUGCAACAGAAAAAUUCAUUCCAAAUCUGAGUUUUUCAUAUUUCACUUCUGAAAUCAGGCAUAUUUUUCAUAGAUUUGAGCCCUUCUCUUCUUCGUUUUGUAAUAUGAAUUUCAUCUCUACUUCUCGGUACGAAAUUAUCAAAUUUGUUUAAUUUUCUCUGUUUCUUCUUGUUUCACUACUGUUCUCUUCAAUGAUCUGCUACUUCCUUGUAUCCGUGAAUUGAAAAGAAGCUAAUGUAGUUAGCUUGUGCCAUGUGUUUUUUGGAAGCCAAUUUUUUGGUUGAAUCGAUCAACAAAUCUGGGAACAUAAGCUAGAAAUGUUUUAUAGUUGAAUGGCAUCUUCAUGGCUCUAAGCUGGUAAGGUGGGAUUAGAACCCCAUAAGCCUUCGAUCAGGAAAGUCUUCCACAAAAGUUCUCAAUUGAAAUAUGUAUAAAUAUAAAAGAUGCGUUGGGUUGGAUCCCAUGCGCGUCUUUUUGAAUUUGACUUAACAUUUUAUACUUCUUUUUUUCUUGCUUAUGCCACUAUAUAUGGAUUACAAUUUAUAAUAUACCACAAAUUAUGUAAAUUUUAACAUCUUAUAUAAAUUUAUAAUUUAAUGAUUUAUAAAAGGGUAAAAUUAUAAUUUAAUUUUGAUAUUUGAAUUUGUUCACUUAUCUUAAUUUAGUACUUAGGUUUUAUUUUUGUUAAGUUGAUACCUAAAUUUUUAUUCCAUCCACUAUAUUGACACUUUUUUUUAAUGGUGUUAGAUUUGAAAGAUGUGGUUUUAUGAAAUUAUGUCAUGUAUCAAUGAUAAUUUAUCAUCCGAAAAGUUAUUAAAAAUAUUUUUCUAAAAAUAGAUUAUAAAUUAUAAUUAAAAAAUUAUAAACUAGCAAAAUUACCAAAAAAAAUUUAAAUCAAAACUUUUUUUUUCUUACUUCAUUAACUUUAUUUUUCUUUUUAUUUUUUUAAUUUCUUUUCCUUGACUAAUUAUCUAAAAAGGUCCAUUUCCAAACAUAUUUAUGAAAAUGGACCGAUUACACCAUUAUUCACUGAAAAUGGCCACUUUUUGCAAAAAGCGCCUACGUGGCCGCGUUUAAGGGGGAAAUUGCCAUCAAAGCGCGCCCCCAAGGGAGCGUUUUUUUCCACGUCAGCGUUUGCUUAGUGUUUUUAUAUGUUAGGGAUAUUUGCAUGUUUAGUUCUUAGGGUUUUUUAGGGUUUUUAAGGUUAGGGUUUUGCCAAAAUAAGUUAGGGUUUAGUGUUUAGGUUUUUGUUAAAACAAAUUAGGGUUUAGAGUUUUAGUAGAUUUUAAAAAUAAAUCAGGAUUUUGUGUUAUUUUAUAAAAAUUAUUUAAAUUAAGGUUUAGGAUUGUUAAAUAAAUUAAGUAAAUUAGGGUUUUUAGGGUUUUAAAUAAAUUAAGUUAGGGUUUUAAAUAAAUUAAGGUUUUAAAUAAGUUAAAUUAGGGUUUAUGGUUUUUAGAUAAAUUAGAGUUUUAGGGUUUUAAAUAAAUUAAAUUAGGGUGUAGGGUUUAGGGUUAAAUUUAAUUAAAUUAGGGUUUAUUUUUUAACAAAAUUGACUAUUUUGUACCUUGAAAAAAUAAUUUUGAGAACACGUUUCUAAACAAAUAGUGUAAAAAAACUCUUCAAGCAUGAUGCACUGUCAGUAAAAUUACAAAAAAAAAAAGCUCCCAUGUGGACACUCUUUUUCUACAGUAGUGAAUACCCCGAAAAUUUUUAUAGUAAAAUAUUAUCCGUGAUAUAGUAAAAUAAGGAAAUAAAGUGACAAAAAGGGAAAUUUUAAGUUAUGUCAAUAUUGGGAAGUAUAUUAUGACAUAUUGAUUCAAGAAAGGAUUAAAUUGUAAAAGUGAGAAAAGUUUUGUGGCCUAAGAGUAAAUACUCAAAAUUUGAAGGAUUAAAGUGUAAAUAUGAAAAGUUGAAGGACUAAUAGUGCAAAUAUUUUAAGGUUGGAAUGAUCUAGAAACUAAGGAAAAUUGAUGAAUUAGGACCAAAUUGAAUUGGUGAAUUAUGAGGGACUAAAUUGCAAUUUUACUAAAUUAAGUGAUGACUCAAGAUUGGAAUUUUAAAAGAUCACAAAGGGCAAAAUGGUCAAUUGGAAGAGAGAGAAAUCUAGAGACAAUGAUGAUGUUGGAGAUAUUUUAGAUAAAUUAAAUAAAUAAAUAUUAGUUUAUUAAUACUUUAAAUUAAUUUUUAAAUGAUAUUUUAUUAUUUUAUUAUUAUUUUAUUUAAUAUAUAUAUAUAUAUGUAAGGAAAGAAAGGGGAGGAUGAUCACCAUUCUCAUGCAACUAACGUGAGAAGAAGAAGAAGAAAGAAAGUUUUCCUUUUCUUACAAUUUAGUCCCUGAGUCUAAAAUAUGCAAAUUAGCCAUGCUAAAUGAAUAUUCAUAUAUGUUUUCCUCCUCCUCCUCUCCAUUCCACAUCCUUAAUGUAUAUAACACACUUGUAAGUAACAUUAUCUAUAUAUAUUUUUUAUUUACUUUUAUGAAUAUUCAAGCUGUCCAUCUGUGUCAUAGUCACUAAAUUAUUUAUAUCUGGAGCUAUAGAGCUCCAAAUUAAGAUCCAAAAAUUUUCCCUGAAACUAUACAUAUAUAUCUUCUUGCCAUAAAAUUUUCAGAAUUUUUGGUUUAGCCAAUAAGUACAGUUUAUUCUUUAAAGUUACCCCUGUUCUGUUGUCUGACAGUUCUGACCCUUCUUUACUAAAAAUUAAUUAUCUUUUCGUACAAGAUUAAAAUGAUGUCAUAUUUUGUUUAUAUUGAAAAUAGACUAAUUCAUAAUUCUAAACAUAUAAAUUUAAGCCCACAAUUAUUUUUAUCCAAUUUUUUAUGAUUUUACAAAGUCAGAACAGGGGAACCCGAAAUCAUUCUGACCCUAUCUCACAAAAUUCAUCAUCUCUCAUGAUUUACAAUUCCAUUGCUUACAUCAUUUAUUCUAUAAGAAACAAGACUUAAUAAUCUUUAAUUUCAUAUUUUAUUCAUCAUUUAAUUAUAUUUCUAAAAUUUUUGAUGAUUUUUCAAAGUUAGACUACUGCUGCUGUCCAAAACUAUUUUAGUACAAUAUAUUAAUUACCAUGUUAUAACACCCUUAUUUUCUUUUUCUACACCAUUUCUCAUCACUUUCUCUUAUUUUCUCUUCACUAACAUAUCAAGAACAUAGGACCUUAUCUAAGAAAACUCUACUAUAACAUUAUUUCCAUGCUUUGUCAAUAAUAACAAACUUAAAAACAUAUUGAAAUCUUGAUGUACUUACCUUUUCUUAUUGACUUCAAUCUUUAACUUGAUUUUUCUCUCUCCUCCAGCUUCUAUUUCUUAAAUCCAACUUGAUAUUCUUGCUCCCCAUCAUCUCCUUUCUAUCUUUCUCUCUUGAUGGCUAUGGAAAUUCUUUCAAUUUUCAAGUGAAAAUAAUGAAUUUUUGGAGGAAGGACUAAAUUGUAAGAAAAGGAAAACUUUCUUUCUUCUUCUUCUUCUCAUGUUAGUUGCAUGAGAAUGGUGACCAUCC
rnacentral:lncRNA from 1 species